rnacentral:misc_RNA from 1 species
ACGUGAAGAUGCGGGCGAUGAACCGGUUCUUCGAGGACGGCGACAAGGUCAAGGUCACGCUGAAGUUCCGCGGUCGCGAAAUGGCCCACCAGGAACUCGGCAUGAAGCUUCUGCUGCAGGUCAAGGACGACACCCAGGCGAUUGCCAAGGUGGAAGCCGAGCCGAAGCUCGAAGGCCGCCAGAUGAUGAUGGUUCUCGCGCCGCGCUAAGCGCGUGCCGCCCAUCCGUCGAGAUUACGAAAGCCGCCUCCGGGCGGCUUUUUUCGUUUGCGGGAUCCUUCGGGCUUUGCUGACAGAAUGCUGACAAU